rnacentral:rRNA from 1 species
UCGGGAAUUUUGGGCAAUGGGCGAAAGCCUGACCCAGCAACGCCGCGUGAGGGAUGAAGUAUUUCGGUAUGUAAACCUCGAAAGAAUGGGAAGAAUAAAUGACGGUACCAUUUAUAAGCUCCGGCUAACUACGUGCCGGCAGCCGCGGUAAUACGUAGGGAGCAAGCGUUGUUCGGAUUUACUGGGCGUAAAGGGCGCGUAGGCGGCGCGGUAAGUCACUUGUGAAAUCUCUGAGCUUAACUCAGAACGGCCAAGUGAUACUGCUGUGCUAGAGUGCGGAAGAGGCAACCGGAAUUCUUGGUGUAGCGGUGAAAUGCGUAGAUAUCAAGAGGAACACCUGAGGCGAAGGCGGGUUGCUGGGCCGACACUGACGCUGAUGCGCGAAAGCCAGGGGAGCAAACG